CACAUCUCGAAGAGCCUCUGCGACGCCUGUCGUCAUCUACUCCUGAAGUAGACCUCCCCUCGGUCUCCAGCAUCUCUGGCCCAGGUUCUGGCCCGGAGAAAUCAGCCUUCUGGGGAUGUCCCUGGCCCUGAAUGCUGGAAGAGCCGGAAGCUUCCCCACGUAGGGGGGCAGCGCAGUUCGCCCCAAGAUCCCAGAGAAGCUGAGCACCCCCGCCUAUGCACCCCACCCAUCCCUAAACCCUGACGGGUGAGGAGAGUGGGGGAGAUCUUGCAGACAGCAUCCCCCAUACCUCCUCUCCCCCACCCCACCCUGCCAAGUAAACACGGGGACUUUCUCGAGAGCCCUGGAGAGCGGCUCUAGUGGCUUGGGGCCUGAAACCCCAGGCUUGGCUUGUUUGAUGUUUAGCAUCCCAAAGCGGCACACCACCCCCUCCCCAGCCUGGGAACUUGGAGCUGUGGGUCGGAGAGGGAGGAAAGCAGCCCUCUCAGUCGGCCAGGCCGGGGACUGGACUGGGUUCUGGAAAGGCGAGAAGAGCCGGUCAGAGAUGCUCUGAGCAGGGGAGAAGGGAGACCCGGCUGCCGCGCCCCCCCCCCCCCCCAACAGAGACACUUGUGGGUACAGCUGGAGUUGUCAAGGCCUGGAGGUUGUUUCUUCAGGAUCAGGCACAGAGACUGACUGAAUGGCUCCAAUGAUCAGGAUUUGAAAACCUAAUAUCAGAAUCUGCUGUUUUGUCAGCUACUUGAAAUACUUUAUCAGUGAAAGUCUUGACUCAGCAAACAUACAUGUAAGAACGUGGAGCAGUUACCUACAGAGUCCAUUGUUCACCUGUUUAUCCUGGAUUUAGAACUAUUUCUUAUGUUUGCUGAUGUCUGAGAGGCUAUGGCUUACUCCAUUUAUACCCAGGUUGGUAUACACAUUCACUCAUUUCUUCAUUCAUUUACACAUUUAUUUAUUCAUUCACUUUGUUAUUUGUGGCAUACAGAUGCGUAUGUAGCCCUCAGUGAGCCCUGCUUUCUGGUGUUUACCCAUGUGUGUGGGCAGGACAUAUGACUUGCUUCUAACCAACAGAAUAUAGUAAAGGUGACGAAAUGUCCCCUCUGUGAUUGAUUACAUAAUAAAGACUCUGUCUUGUUCGAAGACUCAAUCUAGAGAGUGUCCUUGCUGGCUUGAUGAGAUAAGCGGCCAUGUUGGGGAAAACCCCAUGGUGAGAAACUGUGGACAGUUUCCAGACAACAGCCAGGAAGAAGCUGGGAUCCUUGAUCUUAGAGCUGCCGGGAAAUGAAUUCUGCCAAGAAUGUGAGUGAACUUGGAAGGUAUUUCUUCCCCAGUUGAGCCUCCAGGUGGGAACACAGUCCAGAUGAUACCUUGCUUGCAGUCUUGUGAGACCGUAAGUAGAGGGACCAUCUAAGCCAUGCCUUCACCUGUAGAAACUGUGAAAUGAUAAAUGGCUAUUGCUUUUAGCUACUAAGUAUGUGUUAAUUUGUUGUGCAGCUAUAGAAAAUGAAUACACUGUGCUGUGCUAACUACCAUAUAGGCCUUCUCUCAGUACCUGAAGUAGCCUCAUGAGCCUGACACUAAUAUUAUUCCCAUUUUACAGAUGAAGAAACUGAGGCUCAGGAACUGAAUGCAGAAUGUCCUGCUCUCAACCACUGAACUAUCAUGCUAUGUUUCAUUUUUAAUGUAUUUCAUUAUUUCACAAAUUCAAAUUUAUCAUGGUUUAAAACUUAUCUCCUGAACAUGCCAACUGUAUUUACAAAAAGGCCUACUAGGCACACCUAGUACACAAAAUAAAUG